GCAUGUCUAGGAUUGGAUCCGAAGGGAGUUUGGUACUUAAGCAGUCCGAUGGACUCACCACCUCUUUUCCAGUUUCCUACCUGGUGCACAGCUUCCAUUCACUUUAACCUUUAAUGAAAUUAUCUUUUAAAACAUCAAGUACGAUUUUCUGGACUUAGAAUGGAAUUUUUUUUUACGUUUUUGAUGUGGCAUGCCGGCCAUAACGUCUAGGCCGGGUUUGGGGUGCUACAUUUUCUCCUAUGGAACUCUUUGUCCUUCAAACCCAAUUUCAUUUAAUUAUACACAUAUACU
rnacentral:lncRNA from 1 species